GCGAAAUAAUCAGUGACGUCAUAUCAGGAGUUUAGAAAAAUGAAAGAAAAGUACACAAUUUUCAGCAGCUUGAGCCAGACCUUUGUUGAUAGGUACCAGGAGGUCCAAAGUCUUCUGGGGCAGAUACGGCCAAAUGAUGCUGAUCUCCUUCUGCAGCUCCGCAUCCAAGGCAAUGCGGUCCUCGCCACCUGAAACGAGCAUCACAGAAGCCGUGCGGAUGAGCGACAUCAGGGUGGAGGUGAAGUGAACGCUCAUGUCCUCGUCCACGGGCAUGUUCAUCAACACCAGCCGCUGAAAGAGACGCGCAGCAGGAAGGAAAUGAUGACAAACUUUUAAAUCACCAGAAAAAUGAGUAAAAUUGGAGGAAUAAAGGCUGAGCUUGUGCUACUAAAUA